CUUAAACUUCCCACCUUUUUUUUCCUUUUGUUUUCUGAAAGGAAAUAAAGGUGCUCAUUGAAAACUGAACCUCUCUCUCCUCUCACAUGGCCAAAAACACCAGUUGAUGUCGAACCAAUAGCCUAUCCUCCAGCAUUUGCAGUGGCUCAGGUCUAAGUUUUCAAAUACUCUCGAACAUCCCCACAUGUCCAACCAGUUCAAAAAAAUGCACAAGAACAAGGGAGGCGACAGAGGGAGACAAAUGGGUAGGAAGAACCAGAAGCCGGAAACCAAGGACCAAGAAUUGGACUCCAACGACCUAAGAAUGGACAUGAGGGAGAUUUCCAAGCGUAUUGAGCUCUUGGGGAGGAGCUCAUAUUGAGUGUAAUUCUAAAAUGAAACACUUAAAGUGAAUGAAGGAAGCCCAUAUAAAUUCUUUAUCAGUAAUCUCUUAUUUAGAUUCCAUGCCUUUGUUGUUUAAGUUUACAACUUUGCCAUUAAUGUUGUGGAUUUUAGUUUCCAAACGAAAUCCCAGAUCCAUGUUAGUCAAAGUUCUAGGGUAUUUGAGUUUGAGUGAUGGAAACCUGGUGGUACUUUGCAUUUCAUUCUGAAUUUGAGUGAUUAAAAGCUAGUACUUUGAAUUUCAUUGCUGGCUUGAAGCUUACAUGACGAUGGCAUGCUAUAUGUAGCCAAAUAUACCUCAAAAUAAAUUCUCUUUAAAUGGAAAUUUCUGAUCAAAAUUUCAGAAGAACUUUUCCCAGAAUUUGGGUGCUGACUUGUAAGUGAUUAUGUUUCUUUUAAUCUCUUAUAAAAUUGUAGUCUAAGCAGUCAUGGAUAGGUGCUAACUUUUUUUGGACUUCUGCAGAAACUGCCCUGCAACACAGCUCUCUUUGGUAUUUGUUUUACCCUACUUACUGAUCUUCAAAUAUACUGAAAUUUUGACAUGUUUCUGUUUUGUUAGUUAACAAAGGAUCUGGAAAGUUUCAUCUUAUUCCGAAGCAAAGUGAAUUUUCAGUGAUUCGUCCAAAUUCGGUCUGCAUUUGGGAAAGUUCCAGCAUUUUUAAUGUAUCCUCUGAUUUUCUGUUGAGAUUUGAACUCCUAUUUGAAUCAUUUAACUUAUGGUUUUUAUGUAUAUUGAGUUAUGCAUUUCAAAUAGUUGUUUCAAAACUGAUUUCAUGUCAAUUGGACUUACAAUGAAUUUUUGGUGAAUUUUCUAAGUUGACCAUGCUGUUGAGAUUUUUUUUUAUACUCCUGCAGUUCAGUCAGAUUGUGUUCAUCUUUUUCCUUGCUGUCCUAAAUCCGAAUUCCAUGAAAAUUUAGUAUGUUCUACCUUAACAUGUUUACUAUGAGUCUGCAAAAGUUCAAGUCCAUGGCUGUACAAAUGGACUUUAAUAAAUUCCCAAAGCUAAGUUGUUCAUGCCUUAACAUUCCCGUUCACUUAUGUCUCCCUUUUGAUGUG